GAUGAACGCUGGCGGCGUGCCUAAUACAUGCAAGUCGAGCGAACGGACGAGAAGCUUGCUUCUCUGAUGUUAGCGGCGGACGGGUGAGUAACACGUGGAUAACCUACCUAUAAGACUGGGAUAACUUCGGGAAACCGGAGCUAAUACCGGAUAAUAUUUUGAACCGCAUGGUUCAAAAGUGAAAGACGGUCUUGCUGUCACUUAUAGAUGGAUCCGCGCUGCAUUAGCUAGUUGGUAAGGUAACGGCUUACCAAGGCAACGAUGCAUAGCCGACCUGAGAGGGUGAUCGGCCACACUGGAACUGAGACACGGUCCAGACUCCUACGGGAGGCAGCAGUAGGGAAUCUUCCGCAAUGGGCGAAAGCCUGACGGAGCAACGCCGCGUGAGUGAUGAGGGUCUUCGGAUCGUAAAACUCUGUUAUUAGGGAAGAACAUAUGUGCAAGUAACUGUGCACAUCUUGACGGUACCUAAUCAGAAAGCCACGGCUAACUACGUG
rnacentral:rRNA from 1 species